CUGCGAAUGGCUCAUUAUAUAAGUUAUCGUUUAUUUGAUAGUACCUUACUACUUGGAUAACCGUGGUAAUUCUAGAGCUAAUACAUGCUGAAAAUCCCGACUUUGGAAGGGAUGUAUUUAUUAGAUUCAAAACCAAUGCCCCCUGGGCUCCUUGGUGAUUCAUGAUAACUUUUCGAAUCGCACGGCCUUGCGCCGGCGAUGGUUCAUUCAAAUUUCUUCCCUAUCAACUUUCGAUGUUUGGGUAUUGGCCAAACAUGGUCGCAACGGGUAACGGAGGGUUAGGGCUCGACCCCGGAGAAGGAGCCUGAGAAACGGCUACUACAUCCAAGGAAGGCAGCAGGCGCGCAAAUUACCCAAUCCCGAUUCGGGGAGGUAGUGACAAUAAAUACUGAUACAGGGCUCUUUUGGGUCUUGUAAUUGGAAUGAGUACAAUUUAAAUCCCUUAACGAGGAACAAUUGGAGGGCAAGUCUGGUGCCAGCAGCCGCGGUAAUUCCAGCUCCAAUAGCGUAUAUUAAAGUUGUUGUGGUUAAAAAGCUCGUAGUUGAACCUUGGGCCUGGCUGGCCGGUCCGCCUCACCGCGUGUACUGGUCCGGCCGGGCCUUUCCCUCUGUGGAACCUCAUGCCCUUCACUGGGUGUGGCGGGGAAACAGGACGUUUACUUUGAAAAAAUUAGAGUGCUCCAGGCAGGCCUAUGCUCGAAUACAUUAGCAUGGAAUAAUGAAAUAGGACGUGUGGUUCUAUUUUGUUGGUUUCUAGGACCGCCGUAAUGAUUAAUAGGGACAGUCGGGGGCAUCAGUAUUCAAUUGUCAGAGGUGAAAUUCUUAGAUUUAUUGAAGACUAACUACUGCGAAAGCAUUUGCCAAGGAUGUUUUCAUUAAUCAGGAACGAAAGUUAGGGGAUCGAAGACGAUCAGAUACCGUCGUAGUCUUAACCAUAAACUAUGCCGACUAGGGAUCGGACGAUGUUAUUUUUUGACGCGUUCGGCACCUUACGAGAAAUCAAAGUGC
rnacentral:rRNA from 1 species